GAUGAACGCUAGCUACAGGCUUAACACAUGCAAGUCGCAGGGUAACAUGAGGAAAGCUUGCUUUCCUUGAUGACGACUGGCGCACGGGUGAGUAACGCGUAUCCAACCUUCCCAUAACUACGGGAUAACCCGUUGAAAGACGGCCUAAUACCGUAUGAUAUCGUUUGCUGACAUCAAAUAACGAUUAAAGGUUUAGCGGUUAUGGAUGGGGAUGCGUCUGAUUAGCUUGUUGGCGGGGUAACGGCCCACCAAGGCGACGAUCAGUAGGGGUUCUGAGAGGAAGGCCCCCCACAUUGAAACGGGGACACGGUCCAAACUCCUACGGGAGGCAGGAGUGAGGAAUAUUGGUCAAUGGGCGGGAGCCUGAACCAGCCAAGUAGCGUGCAGGAUGACGGCCCUUUGGGUUGUAAACUGCUUUUUUGGGGGGAUAAAGUGCGUGACGUGUCAUGCAUUGCAGGUACCAACUGAAUAAGGACCGGCUAAUUCCGU
rnacentral:rRNA from 1 species